GACGAACGCUGGCGGCGUGCUUAACACAUGCAAGUCGAGCGGUAAGGCCUCUUCGGGGGUACCCGAGCGGCGAACGGGUGAGUAACACGUGGGUGACCUGCCCUCAGCUCUGGGAUAAGCCUGGGAAACUGGGUCUAAUACCGGAUAUGACCACAUGUCGCCUGGUGUGUGGUGGAAAGUUUUUUCGGCUGGGGAUGGGCCCGCGGCCUAUCAGCUUGUUGGUGGGGUGAUGGCCUACCAAGGCGACGACGGGUAGCCGGCCUGAGAGGGCGACCGGCCACACUGGGACUGAGACACGGCCCAGACUCCUACGGGAGGCAGCAGUGGGGAAUAUUGCGCAAUGGGCGGAAGCCUGACGCAGCGACGCCGCGUGGGGGAUGACGGCCUUCGGGUUGUAAACCUCUUUCGACCGGGACGAAGCGUAAGUGACGGUACCGGUAGAAGAAGCACCGGCCAACUACGUG
rnacentral:rRNA from 1 species